UCGACGAAGUUAGCAAUACUUAGUGGCAGACGGGUGAGUAACAUGUGGGUAUCUGCCCUUUGGCCUGGAAUAACACGAGGAAACUUGUGCUAAUACCGGAUAAGUCUUUAGGGAGAAAGCUUUAUGCACCAUUGGAUGAGCCCGCACUUGAUUAGUUUGUUGGUGGGGUAAUGGCCUACCAAGACUGUGAUCAAUAGCUGAUUUGAGAGGAUGAUCAGCCACAUUGGGACUGAGACACGGCCCAAACUCCUACGGGAGGCAGCAGUGGGGAAUCUUGCACAAUGGAGGAAACUCUGAUGCAGCGAUGCCGCGUGAGUGAAGAAGGCCUUUGGGUUGUAAAGCUCUUUCGUCGGGGAAGAAAAUGACUGUACCCGAAUAAGAAGGUCCGGCUAACUUCGUGCCAGCAGCCGCGGUAAUACGAAGGGACCUAGCGUAGUUCGGAAUUACUGGGCUUAAAGAGUUCGUAGGUGGUUGAAAAAGUUGGUGGUGAAAUCCCAGAGCUUAACUCUGGAACUGCCAUCAAAACUUUUCAGCUAGAGUUUGAUAGAGGAAAGCAGAAUUUCUAGUGUAGAGGUGAAAUUCGUAGAUAUUAGAAAGAAUACCAAUUGCGAAGGCAGCUUUCUGGAUCAUUACUGACACUGAGGAACGAAAGCAUGGGUAGCGAAGAGGAUUAGAUACCCUCGUAGUCCAUGCCGUAAACGAUGUGUGUUAGACGUUGGAAAUUUAUUUUCAGUGUCGCAGCGAAAGCGAUAAACACACCGCCUGGGGAGUACGACCGCAAGGUUAAAACUCAAAUGAAUUGACGGGG
rnacentral:rRNA from 1 species